rnacentral:piRNA from 1 species
UGUGCUUCAUGAUGUGUCGUCUUCUGAAU